rnacentral:piRNA from 1 species
UGCGGCAGGAUGAGCCCCAGGAUAACCUC